AAGGCCAAGUUCUGGGUCCUAAGCUCACGGUCCGGGGAUGAGAGCACGCCCAGGACGACGGUGUUCAGUGACCAGACGUGGCCCAGCGAGGCCAGGUCGCAGGACGUCCCGGGAGGCCCUGUCCACAUCCCCACUGCCAGGCAGGCGGCUCCGAUGGGACAGGUGUGACUGGUCUCGGAAGCUGGGGUUUGAUUUUUCUUACCUGGAAGAGCUUUGGCCUUCGGAUACUGUGUUGCCAAACCUGUGUUUCCGACUUGAGCGUUUGUGGUGUAUUAUUCCCUUGGUGUUUUGUCACAAAACAACAGUUGUUAAUCAUUUUAGCCGCCUUCUCAAGGCAAGGGGUUUCCCCCUUACUUUUGUCGGGCCUCCUAGGAAACAGUGUGUUCCAAGGUCACUUGGCAGAGCUGAACCUUCUUUCUCUCUCUCUCUGCCGUUCGGCUCUCACAGCCGUGAAUCACCUGUAGCCUCCCAGACGCCUCCUCUCUGACUCAGGAGAGGGGCUCGCCAGAGCUCCUCCUCCAGAAGGACUGCUCAGGGGAUCUUUUUAACUUGCCCAAAGGCCUCAUCUGCUUCCCGAUAUUCUGUCCCUGGUCACACGCCAGGGGCAUCCAGGCUUCCCAGGGGCGUUAACAGGUCCCCACCGCCCUCUGCAGGGCCUCCCUGGUGAGUCCGGGCCUCAGCUGCCGCUCUCCAACCCCUUGCACAUUCCUGGUGAAAACAGCCCCCGCCCCGCCCGUCCGCUCUGGGAAAGGCUCUUUGCAUUGCCUUCGCCACCUCUUUCCACGGACCGUCAGUUGUAUGCUUUUCGGUGAAAACAGUGGAUCUGUCAGCUUUUUCCUUUGGUGCAUCCUCAAGAUCAGAGUUCGAAACAGAAUUUUCCUAAACCACUGAGGAUCGCCGAGUCACCCAGAAACAGCAGGUUCCUUGCUCGUCAAGGACGCAGUGCUGGUGGAGAAACGGACAAUCUCCGUUUCGGUCUGGGCCCUGAGGAGGAACAGAGCUUUUCAAGGAAGGCAGAGCGUGUUUAGGUCUCACAGCUCCUUCCCUUCCUCUGUUUGGUGCCCUGCAGGGUUUUCAAGUUCAAGUAGCACCAGACUCCUUGUGGGCAGGACCCAGGUCUGGCAGAGGAGGCCCGGUGGAAGGGCAGCCUCGGGUCCCUUCCAGCCGCUUCUGAAUCCGCUGCAUCUGUGUCUCCCCCGUAGGCGGGUCGCUGACCAAGCUGGCCUACUACUCCACCGUGCAGCACAAAGUUGCCAAAGUGCGGUCCUUCGACCACUCAGACAAGGUGAGCCUCCUGGGAGGACCCCGGGCAGGCCCUGGAAGCUUCUAGUGCCGAUGCCCCUCCCUCCACGCUCCCAGCUUAGCUCCCCUUCCAUCCCAGCCCUGGCAAGAGCACCCCCGCCUGCUCGUGCCCCCCCCCGCAUCUCCCACCUGCGUCGGCACCGAGACCCCCGCGGACUUCGGGGUAGGCAGACAUCGUCGGCGCUGCUGCGGGUGCCCAGGGGCUGCGUCUCAGCAUCGUCCCCUCCCCGAGGCAGCGCACACACGCGCGUUCCCCAACCUCACCCCCAGGACGCAGGGCAGGACCACGAGCCGCCCUACGAGAUCUCCGUCCAGGAGGAGGUUACCGCCAGGCUGCACUUUGUCAAGUUCGAGAACACCUACAUAGAAGCCUGCCUGGACUUCAUCAAAGACCACCUGGUCAACACCGAGACCAAGGUCAUCCAGGCGACCGGGGGCGGGGCGUACAAGUUCAAAGACCUCAUCGAAGAGAAGCUGCAGCUGAAGGUCGACAAGGAGGACGUGAUGACCUGCCUGAUCAAGGGCUGCAACUUCGUGCUGAAGAACAUCCCGCACGAGGCCUUCGUGUACCAGAAGGGCUCCAGCCCCGAGUUCCGGUUUCAGACCAACCACCCCAGCGUUUUCCCGUACCUCCUAGUCAGCAUCGGCUCUGGGGUCUCUAUCGUGAAGGUGGAGACAGAGGACAGGUUCGAGUGGAUCGGCGGCAGCUCCAUCGGGGGCGGCACCUUCUGGGGGCUUGGGGCUCUGCUCACCAAAACGAAGAAGUUUGACGAGCUGCUGCAUCUGGCUUCCAGAGGCCAGCACGCGAACGUGGACACGCUGGUGCAGGACAUCUACGGAGGGGCCCACCAGACCCUGGGGCUGAGCGGCAACCUCAUCGCGAGCAGCUUCGGGAAGUCGGCCACCGCGGACACGGAGUUCUCCAAGGAGGACCUGGCCAAGAGCCUGCUGCACAUGAUCAGCAACGACAUCGGGCAGCUCGCCUGCCUGUACGCCAAGCUCCACUGCCUGGACCGGGUGUACUUCGGCGGCUUUUUCAUCCGCGGCCACCCCGUCACCAUGCGUACCAUCACCUACAGCAUCAACUUCUUCUCCAAGGGGGAGGUCCAGGCGCUGUUCUUGAGGCACGAAGGCUACCUGGGCGCCAUAGGAGCGUUUCUUAAAGGAGCCGAGCAAGACAACCCCAACCAGUACAGCUGGGAGGAGAACUACGCCGGCAGCUCCGGGCUCAUGAGCUCCUCGCCCGAGCUCUGCCCGACGCAGCGCGCGAGGAGCGGCGCCUUCGACUUGCUGGAAAUGGACCGUCUGGAGAGGCCGCUCGUCAACCUGCCUCUCCUCCUGGACCCGUCCUCCUACGUGCCCGACACGGUCGACCUCACGGACGACGCGCUGGCCCGAAAGUACUGGCUCACCUGCUUUGAGGAGGCCCUGGACGGGGUUGUGAAACGCGCCGUGGCGAGCCAGCCGGGCUCCGUGGACGCAGCCGAGAGGGCCGAGAAGUUCCGCCAGAAGUACUGGAACAAGCUGCAGACGCUGCGGCACCAGCCCUUCGCUUACGGGGCCCUGACCGUGCGCAGCCUGCUGGACACGAGGGAGCACUGCUUGAACGAGUUCAACUUCCCGGACCCCUACUCCAAGGUGAAGCAGAAAGACAACGGCGUGGCAUUAAAGUGUUUCCAGAGGGUGAUCCACUCUCUGGACGCCCUGGGCUGGGAGGAGAGGCAGCUGGCCCUGGUGAAAGGGCUCCUGGCGGGCAACGUCUUCGACUGGGGAGCGAAAGCCGUCUCUGACGUCCUUGAGUCUGACCCCCAGUUCGGGUUUGAGGAGGCGAAGAGGAAGCUGCAAGAGCGGCCCUGGCUCGUGGACUCCUACAGCAAGUGGCUUCAGAGACUGAAGAUAACAGUGGAGUAGACGUCAUUUUGGGAGUCUUCCCCUUUGUCAGGGAGCUUCUCUCUAGAGGGACGGAGGUCAUCCUGGCGUGCAACUCGGGACCCGCCUUGAACGACGUGACCUACAGCGAGUCCCUCAUCGUGGCCGAGCGCAUCGCGGCCAUGGACCCCGUCGUCCG